rnacentral:rRNA from 1 species
UGGGGAAUAUUGGACAAUGGGCGCAAGCCUGACCCAGCCAUGCCGCGUGAGUGAUGAAGGCCCUAGGGGUGUAAAGCUCUUUCAGCGGGGAAGAUAAAGACGGCAACCGGAGAAGAAGCCGCGGCUAACUUCGUGCCAGCAGCCGCGGUAAUACGAAGGGGGCUAGCGUUGUUCGGAUUUAGUGGGCGUAAAGCGCACGUAGGCGGACUAUUAAGUCAGGGGUGAAAUCCCGGGGCUCAACCCCGGAACUGCCUUUGAUACUGGUAGUCUUGAGUUCGAGAGAGGUGAGUGGAAUUCCGAGUGUAGAGGUGAAAUUCGUAGAUAUUCGGAGGAACACCAGUGGCGAAGGCGGCUCACUGGCGCGCUACUGACGCUGAGGUGCGCAAGCGUGGGGAGCGAACAGG